rnacentral:rRNA from 1 species
GUGCCAGCAGCCGCGGUAAUACAGAGGUCCCGAGCGUUGUUCGGAUUCAUUGGGCGUAAAGGGUGCGUAGGCGGCGGGGCAAGUUUGAUGUGAAAUCCCGGGGCUCAACCCUGGAAUUGCAUUGAAUACUGCCUUGCUAGAGUACUGGAGAGGAAACUGGAAUUUACGGUGUAGCAGUGAAAUGCGUAGAGAUCGUAAGGAAGACCAGUGGCGAAGGCGAGUUUCUGGACAGUUACUGACGCUGAGGCACGAAGGCCAGGGGAGCAAACGGGAUUAGAAACCCCGGUAGUCC